AAGCUUCUGGAAUGUUGGUCAUCUUUUGAAAUUUUACCACUGAUUAUUUAUAGGGAAGACGUGUUCCACUGCGUAUGACAAGCUGCUUAAGGUAGAAGUCAGAACCAGUAGAUAGUCCACCCACCUUGUGAAGGUGUGGUGUGAGAUUUUAGGGAUGACGGCAUUCUGGAUAAAAU
rnacentral:other from 1 species